rnacentral:misc_RNA from 1 species
AAGUCGUAACAAGGUAACCGUAGGUGAACCUGCGGUUGGAUCAUUAGUGGUUUUUACGUAGCGCUGUUGUAGUGUUUCUGGGGGUGUUUGCUUUGGUUUUGGUGUUGGUUGUUUGUCUGUUUUUGUGCGGUGCCUUGUGCAGUGCCUUGUGCGGUGCCUUGUGCGGUGCCUGGCAGUACAAACGAUCGACGGCAACACUCGGACCAGACCCAAGCCCUUGCAGACAAUAGACGUCUUUGCUUGCUUUGAUGAAACCAAAUCAAAAACAACUUUUGACAACGGAUCUCUUGGCUCUC